GAAAAACUAAAUUAUUUAACAUUUUUUGUAUCACUUGAGAAAAUUAAUUAUGAAGGUUUUAUAUUUGACAAUAAUCAGCUUCGCUCUACUCAGGCAAUGCCUGUUACAUAUUAAUGACCCAGUCAAUUAACAUAGAGAUCUACUCUAGCUAAAAAAGUCCAUAUAUUUAUCGUCUCUCGAUAAAAGACCUAUCUCUGAAAAUUAAAAUUCCCCGAUUUGAUUAUUCUUUUAAUAUAACAUAAUUAUGUAACCUCAUAUAAAAUAUGGUAGAGCGUAUACAAACAAAUUAUAUGAAUAGAUUCAUUAUCAGAAAUAUUACAGGCCUUUCAAACGAACAGCCGCCAUUUUUAGAACUACAUAGAUGUAAAAAUAUAUUUUUAUCGACUCGGGCAAGGUCAAGGUCACGAUCUGUUCACGGUUGAUGAUUGUGUUUAAAUCGGUUUAUAUCAUAUUAUUUCUAUUCACAUUACAAUAUUUUUUUUAUAGGUUACGGUUAUUGUUGUUAUUUAUCUAAAUUGCUUCAAUUAUUUAUUAAAUAUUUUUUGUUUGUUCGUUUGACCGGAACGUACGGAAUUCUGGGAUUUAAAAUGGCGGCAUAAUGUAAUUAUUAUUUUUCCCAAAGAAGAAAUGAUGCCGUGAUUUAAAGUUAAAUAAAGCUAUUCCACACUGCACACACGAUUUUGGAUUCAGCAAAGUAAAGUUGAAGAUCCUACAUGUAUAUUUGAGCACCCUUGGUGGCAGUAAUGACAAAGAAGUUCUAAAAAGAUUUAUAUGGGCUUUAUAAUGAUAUGUUCAUCAAUAGUGGUUUUGAUUUUUCACUUGGAUUGGUGGAAGAAGGUACCAUACAAUACUAUACUACUGUACUGUGUUAGAUUGUUCAGCGUAAAUUGGUUUGAAAGACCUUUCCAGUACGCCACGGUAUUCAGUAUAAUCUAAGGAAAUUAAAACAGAAGAAAAGUAUAGAAAAUAUUUCCAAUUAUCUAUCUUGAGAUCACAGAGAUUGAAUGCUGCAGGUCUUGUGUUUAGUGUAUAGACUAAUUGGUGGAUGUUAUUAACAUUAACCUUUUAGCAAAGGUUAGCUUGAUGAUGUUACUGACUUUGCAGUGUAGUGGAAGAUGUUAACCUAACUUUGGUAGACAACAAGCCUAACCCUGAAGUCAACGAUGUACAAUAUGUCAGUGUCACGGUUCCACUACCAAACGUAACGCGAAUAUAAACAAUACUUACGGGUACAUGUAUUUACUUUGAUUGAAAUGAGGUCAACUUAAAAAUUUGUGUAGAUGUGUUAUUUGUUGUAACAGUUAUAUCCAUAAAAGUUAUAUCCAUAAAAUGUAAA